CUCAGUUCGGAUCGGAGUCUGCAACCCGACUCCGUGAAGCUGGAUUCGCUAGUAAUCGCGCAUCAGCCAUGGCGCGGUGAAUACGUUCCCGGGCCUUGUACACACCGCCCGUCAAGCCAUGGGAGCCGGGGGCGCCUGAAGUCCGGGACCGCGAGGACCGGCCUAGGGCGAAACUGGUGACUGGGGCUAAGUCGUAACAAGGUAGC
rnacentral:rRNA from 1 species